UAGAGAUCCGAAGCAAUUCUGACGAGCAAAUUGAUCGUCUAGCUUUGGUAUAGGGGGCGAAAGACUAAUCGAACUAUUAGUAGCUGGUUCCUCUGAAGUUUCCCUCAGGAUAGCUGAAACACGUAAUAAAGCAGUUAUAUUCGGUAAAGCGAAUGAUUAGAGGAAUUUUGGGACGAAACGUCUUCAACUAUUCUCAAACUUUUCAGUGAGUAUGACGUCUUGCUUGCUUGAAUGAAGCAUAAACAUUGAAUGUGUGUUCCAAGUAGGCCAUUUUUGGUAAGCAGAAAUGACGCUGUGGAAUGAACCAAAUGUUGAGUUAAAGUGCCAAACUUUCCGCUCAUGAGACCCCAUGAAAGGUAUUGAUAUAGAUAGCAGAACGGUGGCCAUGGAAUUUGGAAACCGCUAAGGAGUAUGCAACAACUCACCACCUAAAUCAACUAGCCCUGAAAAUGGACGGUGCUUGAGCGGAAGACUAAUACUCAGCCGUUGCACGCUUUGUGUUCAAAAAAAGAAACCUGGCCGCAACGAAUAAGAGGGUCGCAGUGGUUAGCGUUGAAGACUUUGGGCGUAGGUUGUAGCUUCCAUUGGUGCAGAUCAUGGUGGUAUAGCAAAUAUUCAAGUGAAAUAGAGAAGUAUUCUAAUAUUCAAGUAGAGAAAUGAACAGCAGUUGAAUGUAGAUCAGUCGAUCCUAAGAUAUUGGCUAAUACCGUUUCAUAAAAUAGUGGAAUUUAGGCGUAAUCCAUUUGAUAAAUCGAAAGGGAAACGAGUUGAUAUUCCUGUAUCCAAACACGGAUAUAAAUGCUCAUCAUGAGAUUUAGCGCACUAAUGCAAAUAAACUCGGAAAUUUUGAGGAAAGCCCGAGCAAGAGUUCUCUUUUCUGGCUAAGGAACGGACUCUCUGGAAUCAGUUCAACUGGAAAUAGGGAUGUUGUUUCCGUAAAGCGCCACAAUUCCUGUGAUGUCUCGUGCGCUUUGUUCGAUCCACGAAAAUCCGAAGAAGGCUAUUUGAAUUUCGUGCCAAAUCGUAUCCAUAUCCGCAGCAUGUCUCCAAGGUGAACAGCUCUAGUCGAUACAAUAAUUUAGGUAAGGGAAGUUGGCAAAUCGGA
rnacentral:ncRNA from 1 species